AUUGAACGCUGGCGGCAUGCUUUACACAUGCAAGUCGAACGGUAACAGGCCGCAAGGUGCUGACGAGUGGCGAACGGGUGAGUAAUGCAUCGGAACGUGCCCAGUCGUGGGGGAUAACUACUCGAAAGAGUAGCUAAUACCGCAUACGAUCUAUGGAUGAAAGCGGGGGACCGUAAGGCCUCGCGCGAUUGGAGCGGCCGAUGUCAGAUUAGGUAGUUGGUGGGGUAAAGGCUCACCAAGCCAACGAUCUGUAGCUGGUCUGAGAGGACGACCAGCCACACUGGGACUGAGACACGGCCCAGACUCCUACGGGAGGCAGCAGUGGGGAAUUUUGGACAAUGGGCGCAAGCCUGAUCCAGCAAUGCCGCGUGCAGGAAGAAGGCCUUCGGGUUGUAUACUGCUUUUGUACGGAACGAAACGGCUCUGGUUAAUACCCGGGGCUAAUGACGGUACCGUAAGAAUAAGCACCGGCUAACUACGUG
rnacentral:rRNA from 1 species